AGUGGACGCUGGCGGUAGGCCUAACACAUGCAAGUCGAACGGCAGCACAGUAAGAGCUUGCUCUUACGGGUGGCGAGUGGCGGACGGGUGAGGAAUACAUCGGAAUCUACUUUUUCGUGGGGGAUAACGUAGGGAAACUUACGCUAAUACCGCAUACGACCUACGGGUGAAAGCAGGGGAUCUUCGGACCUUGCGCGAUUGAAUGAGCCGAUGUCGGAUUAGCUAGUUGGCGGGGUAAAGGCCCACCAAGGCGACGAUCCGUAGCUGGUCUGAGAGGAUGAUCAGCCACACUGGAACUGAGACACGGUCCAGACUCCUACGGGAGGCAGCAGUGGGGAAUAUUGGACAAUGGGCGCAAGCCUGAUCCAGCCAUACCGCGUGGGUGAAGAAGGCCUUCGGGUUGUAAAGCCCUUUCGUUGGGAAAGAAAAGCAGCAGGUUAAUACCCCGCUGUUCUGACGGUACCCAAAGAAUAAGCACCGGCUAACUUCGUG
rnacentral:rRNA from 1 species